UUUUGGUGAGGUGCCUUCCGAGUUCCCUGGAACGGGACGCCAUAGAGGGUGAGAGCCCCGUCUGGUUGGACACCGAUCCUCUGUAAAGCUCCUUCGACGAGUCGAGUAGUUUGGGAAUGCUGCUCUAAAUGGGAGGUAUAUGUCUUCUAAAGCUAAAUACCGGCCAGAGACCGAUAGCGCACAAGUAGAGUGAUCGAAAGAUGAAAAGAACUUUGAAAAGAGAGUUAAACAGUACGUGAAAUUGUUGAAAGGGAAGCGCUUGUGACCAGACUUGGGCUUGGUUGAUCAUCCGGGGUUCUCCCCGGUGCACUCUUCCGGCCCAGGCCAGCAUCAGUUCGCCCUGGGGGACAAAGGCUUCGGGAAUGUGGCUCUCUCCGGGGAGUGUUAUAGCCCGUUGCGUAAUACCCUGUGGCGG
rnacentral:rRNA from 1 species